rnacentral:rRNA from 1 species
UUGUCUAUUAAUUGUAGACCAGUAUGAAAGGCAAAAUGAGGGCCUAACUGUCUCUUAUAAUCAAUCAAUUAAACUGAUCUCCCAGUACAAAAGCUGGAAUACUCACAUAAGACCAGAAGACCCUGUGAAGCUUAAACUAAACUAUUAAACCAUAUAAUAGCUCCUUUCGGUUGGGGCGACCUUGGAAAAAAAAAGAACUUCCAAACAUAUAGACUCUUAAACCUACCUAUUAGGCCAACAAGCCAAACAACGACCCAGCACCGCUGAUUAAUGAAACAAGUUACUCCAGGGAUAACAGCGCUAUCUUCUUCAAGAGCCCAUAUCAAAAAGAAGGUUUACGACCUCGAUGUUGGAUCAGGACAUCCUAAUGGUGCAGCCGCUAUUAAGGGUUCGUUUGUUCAACGAUU